rnacentral:rRNA from 1 species
UACGGGGGGGGCAAGCGUUGUUCGGAAUUACUGGGCGUAAAGGGUUCGUAGGUGGCCAACUAAGUCAUGCGUGAAAUCCCUCAGCUUAACUGGGGAACUGCGUCUGAUACUGGUUGGCUUGAGUGCAGGAGAGGAACGCGGAAUUCCAGGUGUAGCGGUGAAAUGCGUAGAUAUCUGGAGGAACACCGGUGGCGAAGGCGGCGUUCUGGACUGCAACUGACACUGAGGAACGAAAGCCAGGGGAGCAAACGGG